UUGUACCUACGGGGGGCAGCAGUGGGGAAUAUUGCACAAUGGGGGAAACCCUGAUGCAGCGACGCCGCGUGAGUGAGGAAGUAUUUCGGUAUGUAAAGCUCUAUCAGCAGGGAAGAAAAUGACGGUACCUGACUAAGAAGCCCCGGCUAACUACGUGCCAGCAGCCGCGGCAAUACGUAGGGGGCAAGCGUUAUCCGGAUUUACUGGGUGUAAAGGGAGCGUAGACGGAGGAGCAAGUCUGUUGUGAAAAUCCGGGGCCCAACCCCGGAACUGCAGUGGAAACUGUUAAUCUAGAGUGUCGGAGG
rnacentral:rRNA from 1 species